rnacentral:rRNA from 1 species
UUCGACCCCUAAGGCGAGGCCGAGAGGCGUAGUCGAUGGGAAAUUGGUUAAUAUUCCAAUACUUCUGUUUAAUGCGAUGAGAGGACGGAGAAGGUUAAGUCAGCCUGGCGUUGGUUGUCCAGGUGGAAGACAGUAGGCAUGCAUCUUAGGCAAAUCCGGGGUGCUCUAUGCUGAGAGUCGAUAGCAAACUGUACUUGUACAGUGAAGUGGCUGAUACCCUGCUUCCAGGAAAAGUCUCUAAGCUUCAGUUAGACAGGAAUCGUACCCUAAACCGACACAGGUGGUCAGGUCGAGUAGACCAAAGCGCUUGAGAGAACUCUGCUGAAGGAACUAGGCAAAAUGGUACCGUAACUUCGGGAGAAGGUACGCUGCUGACGGUGAUGGGAUUUACUCCCUGAGCUAUUGGCAGCCACAGAAACCAGGCCGCUGCAACUGUUUAUUAAAAACAUAGCACUCUGCAAACACGAAAGUGGACGUAUAGGGUGUGAUGCCUGCCCGGUGCUGGAAGGUUAAUUGAUGGGGUUAGCGUAAGCGAAGCUCUUGAUCGAAGCCCCAGUAAACGGCGGCCGUAACAAUAACGGUCCUAAGGUAGCGAAAUUCCUUGUCGGGUAAGUUCCGACCUGCACGAAUGGCAUAAUGAUGGCGGCGCUGUCUCCAGCAGAGGCUCAGUGAAAUCGAAAUCGCUGUGAAGAUGCAGUGUACCCGCGGCUAGACGGAAAGACCCCGUGAACCUUUACUGCAGCUUGACGUUGAACUUUGACCUUACUUGUGUAGGAUAGGUGGGAGGCUAUGAAGUGCGAACGCUAGUUUGCAUGGAGCCAAUCUUGAAAUACCACCCUGGUAAUGUUGAGGUUCUAACUCUGUCCCCUAAUCGGGGACGAGGACCAUGUCUGGUGGGUAGUUUGACUGGGGCGGUCUCCUCCUAAGAGUAACGGAGGAGUACGAAGGUGCGCUCAGCGUGGUCGGAAAUCACGCGUAGAGUAUAAAGGCAAAAGCGCGCUUAACUGCGAGACCCACAAGUCGAGCAGGUACGAAAGUAGGUCUUAGUGAUCCGGUGGUUCUGUAUGGAAGGGCCAUCGCUCAACGGAUAAAAGGUACUCUGGGGAUAACAGGCUGAUACCGCCCAAGAGUUCAUAUCGACGGCGGUGUUUGGCACCUCGAUGUCGGCUCAUCUCAUCCUGGGGCUGAAGCAGGUCCCAAGGGUAUGGCUGUUCGCCAUUUAAAGAGGUACGCGAGCUGGGUUUAGAACGUCGUGAGACAGUUCGGUCCCUAUCUACCGUGGGCGCUGGAAAUUUGAGAGGAUCUGCUCCUAGUACGAGAGGACCAGAGUGGACGAACCUCUGGUGUACCGGUUGUCACGCCAGUGGCAUCGCCGGGUAGCUAUGUUCGGAAGGGAUAACCGCUGAAAGCAUCUAAGCGGGAAGCCUACCUCAAGAUAAGAUUUCCCGAUUGAAAUAUAUCCUAAAGAGCCGUUCGAGACCAGGACGUUGAUAGGUUGGGUGUGGAAGCACGGUGACGUGUGAAGCUGACCAAUACUAAUUGCUCGUGAGGCUUGACU